AAUAUUGGUCAAUGGAGGCAACUCUGAACCAGCCAUGCCGCGUGCAGGAUGACGGUCCUAUGGAUUGUAAACUGCUUUUGUACAGGAAGAAAAAGAGUUACGUGUAGCUUAUUGACGGUACUGUAAGAAUAAGGAUCGGCUAACUCCGUGCCAGCAGCCGCGGUAAUACGGAGGAUCCAAGCGUUAUCCGGAAUCAUUGGGUUUAAAGGGUCCGUAGGCGGCCUUAUAAGUCAGCGGUGAAAGUUUUUGGCUUAACCAAAAAAUUGCCGUUGAUACUGUAGGGCUUGAAUUUUUGUGAAGUAACUAGAAUAUGUAGUGUAGCGGUGAAAUGCUUAGAUAUGUCCCAGAACCCCGAUUGCGAAGGCAGCUUCCUAGACCGUUAUUGACGCUGAUGCACGAAAGCGUGGGGAUCGAACA
rnacentral:rRNA from 1 species